rnacentral:rRNA from 1 species
AUUGAACGCUGGCGGCAGGCCUAACACAUGCAAGUCGAGCGGAGCGGCGGACGGGUGAGUAAUGCCUAGGAAUCUGCCUGGUAGUGGUGGAUAACGUCCGGAAACGGGCGCUAAUACCGCAUACUAUCAGAUGAGCCUUGGUCGGAUUAGUUAGUUGGUGGGGUAAAGGCCUACCAAGGCGACGAUCCGUACCUGGUCUGAGAGGAUGACCAGCCAAACUGGAACUGAGACACGGUCCAGCCUCCUACGGGAGGCAGCAGUGGGGAAUAUUGCAAAAUGGGCGAAGGCCUGAGACAGCCAGGCCGCGUGUAUGAAGAGGGCCUUGGGGUUGUAAAGUACUUUCAGCGGGGAGGCGUUACCCGAAGAAGAAGCACCGGCUAACUCCGUGCCAGCAGCCGCGGUAAUAC